UACGGAGGAUCCAAGCGUUAUCCGGGUUUAUUGGGUUUAAAGGGUGCGUAGGUGGCUUUUUAAGUCAGGGGUGAAAGACGGUAGCUUAACUAUCGCAGUGCCUUUGAUACUGAAGAGCUUGAAUGAACUAGAGGUAGGCGGAAUGUGACAAGUAGCGGUGAAAUGCAUAGAUAUGUCACAGAACACCAAUUACGAAGGCAGCUUACUAUGGUUUGAUUGACACUGAGGCACGAAAGCGUGGGGAUCAAACAGG
rnacentral:rRNA from 1 species